UUUCCUCUCUGGCAUUCAUUCCCCUGUCACCUUGUGAAGAGAUGCCUUCUGCCAUGAUUAGAAGUUUCCUGAGCACUCCCAAGCUAUGCUGAAAUGCUGUCUCAAAGUCUUCAGAGGAAGAAUUCUGUGGCCACUCCAGAAGGACUACCUCAUCCAGUGAAGACAACAGAAAUGCCUGCUUGAGAGCUCUGCUUGGUCUGUGUACUGCUCAAUUUUCCCACCCAACCUGGAGUGGGACUACAUCAAACUUAAAAGCUUCUGCACAGCAAAUAAGACAAUCAACAGAGUGAAAAGACAACCUACACAAUGGGAAAAGAUAUUUUGCAAACUAUGUAUCUGACAAGAAGAUAAUUUCCAAAAUAUAUAAGAAACUCUUACAACUUAACAGCAAAAGAAAGAAAGAACGAAAGAAAAGAAAGAAAGAGAAAAAGGAAGAAAGAAGAAAAGAAAGAGAGGAAGAAAUUUUAAAGUGGAUGAGCCAAGGGCUUGAACAGAUACUUCUUCAAGGGAC